rnacentral:lncRNA from 10 species
CAGAGUCUUGCUCUGUCACCCAGGCUGGAGUGCAGUAGUGUAAUCUUGGCUCACUGCAAACUCUGCCUCCGGGGUUCAAAUGAUUCUCGUGCCUCAGCCUCCCAAGUAGUUGGGAUUACAGGCAUGCGCCACUGUGCCUAGCUAAUUUUUUUACUUUUAGUAGAGAUGGGGUUUCGCAUGUUGGUCAGGCUGGUCUCGAAUUCCUGGCCUCAAGUGAUCUCCCACCUCGGCCUCCCAAAGUGCUGGGAUUAUAGGUGUGAGUCACCGCGCCCAGCCGAAAGACGAAUACCUUUAAAUCUCCACCAGCAUAAACCAUUUCAUUGAAGGGCUGUCUCCAGGUUGAAGCCAUUCCUAUUUGGGGGUUUGCUGAAACACAUCAAUCAUACAGAAACAGUGGAAAGGCCAAAUUAUUAAGAAAACAAAAUGUCCUUCAGCAUUUUGGAAGAGCCGUUUCAGGAGGGUAUGUACAAACAGUGGCUGGCAGUAUUCAAGUGGUUCUGUUCUGUUCACUGGAGCAGAGGCAGGGGACCUCCAUCAUCUGUUCCAAGUGAUCAGGGGGAUGACUAACCCCAUCUCUUGUUUCAAGUUCAUUUCCACUUCACAUCUACUCCAUUCAGCGUCAGUCUUGUUGACAUUCCAGCUUCAUUUUAAAUGGCUUUCAGAUAAAACCAUUACAAAUCCCAAUAUCCAAUCACCUUUCUUGCCACAGGGAAAAUGGAGAAUAAAGCUUGAAAGAAAAUAGCCUCUUCCUUGCAUGGAAAGGCUGUUGUGGAUCGAGUGAGAAGGAGGUUCGAUGGGGGAAAUAGAACAGCAUCCUCCUUCCUUCUGAGGCAGCUGCUCCUGGGAUAGCUGAG